rnacentral:rRNA from 1 species
AUUGAACGCUGGCGGCAGGCUUAACACAUGCAAGUCGAGCGGAGCGAGGGUGCUUGCACCUUAGCUUAGCGGCGGACGGGUGAGUAAUGCUUAGGAAUCUGCCUAUUAGUGGGGGACGACAUUCCGAAAGGAAUGCUAAUACCGCAUACGCCCUACGGGGGAAAGAAGGGGAUCUUCGGACCUUGCACUAAUAGACGAGCCGAAGUCGGAUGAGCUAGUUGGUGGGGUAAAGGCCUACCAAGGCGACGAUCUGUAGCGGGUCUGAGAGGAUGAUCCGCCACACUGGGACUGAGACACGGCCCAGACUCCUACGGGAGGCAGCAGUGGGGAAUAUUGGACAAUGGGCGGAAGCCUGAUCCAGCCAUGCCGCGUGUGUGAAGAAGGCCUUUUGGUUGUAAAGCACUUUAAGCGAGGAGGAGGCUCUUAAGGUUAAUACCCUUGAUGAGUGGACGUUACUCGCAGAAUAAGCACCGGCUAACUCUGUGCCAGCCGCCGCCGUAAAAC